UACGAAGGGGGCUAGCGUUGCUCGGAAUUACUGAGCGUAAAGGGCGCGUAGGCGGCUCUGUGAGUCGGGCGUGAAAUUCCUGGGCUCAACCUGGGGACUGCGUUCGAUACGGCAGGGCUAGAGGACGGAAGAGGCUCGUGGAAUUCCCAGUGUAGAGGUGAAAUUCGUAGAUAUUGGGAAGAACACCAAUGGCGAAGGCAGCUCGCUGGGACGGUACUGACGCUGAGACGCGAAAGCGUGGGGAGCAAACAGG
rnacentral:rRNA from 1 species